rnacentral:rRNA from 1 species
GCCACAUGACGGUACCCAAGGAGGAAGCCCCGGCUAAACUACGUGCCCAGCCAGCCGCGGUAAUACGUAGGGGGCCAAGCGUUUUCCGGAAUUAUUGGGCGUAAAGGGCGCGUUGGCGGAUUGUUAAAUCCGGUGUGAAAGAUCAGGGCUCAACCCUGAGAGUGCAUCGGAAACUGGGAAUCUUGAGGACAGGAGAGGAAAGUGGAAUUCCACGUGUAGCGGUGAAAUGCGUAGAUAUUUGGAGGAACACCCGUGGCGAAGGCGACUUUCUGGACUGUAACUGACCCUGAGGCGCGAAAGCCUGGGGAGCAAACAGGAUUAGAUACCCUGGUAGUCCACGCCGUAAACGAUGAUUGCUAGGCGUAGAGGGUAUCGACACCCUUCUGUGCCGCAGUUAACACAAUAAGCACUCCGC